UGUACAAAGCAAAUGAUGCGAAAGCACUGACACUGACUCUGUGUGGAGUGCAUUCAGUCCAACGCAGAGCUUUGUGUU
rnacentral:snoRNA from 1 species